rnacentral:rRNA from 1 species
ACGAACGCUGGCGGCGUGCUUAACACAUGCAAGUCGAACGGAAAGGCCUGCUUUCCCUUGUGGAUUGCGGGUACUCGAGUGGCGAACGGGUGAGUAACACGUGAGUGAUCUGCCCCCAACUUGGGUAUAAGCCUGGGAAACUGGGUCUAAUUCCCGAUAGGACUGCAGGGUGGUGCCUGUGGUGGAAAACGAUUUUCUAGUGGUUGGGGAUGAGCUCGCGGCCUAUCAGCUUGUUGGUGGGGUAAUGGCCUACCAAGGCGGCGACGGGUAGCCGGCCUGAGAGGGUGGACGGCCACAUUGGGACUGAGAUACGGCCCAGACUCCUACGGGAGGAAGCAGUGGGGAAUAUUGCACAAUGGGCGGAAGCCUGAUGCAGCGACGCCGCGUGGGGGAUGACGGCCUUCGGGUUGUAAACUCCUUUCGACCGCGAGGAAGCCACCUGGUUGGAAGGGUGGUGACGGUAGUGGUAGAAGAAGCACCGGCUAACUACGUG